rnacentral:rRNA from 1 species
AUUGAACGCUGGCGGUAGGCCUAACACAUGCAAGUCGAGCGAGCGGCGGACGGGUGAGUAAUGUAUGGGGACUGCCCGAUAGAGGGGGAUAACUACUGGAAACUGUUGCUAAUACCGCAUACUAUCGUUUACCCCAUAUGGAAUUGGCUUGUAGGUGGGGUAAAGGCUAACCUAGGCGACGAUCUCUAGCUGGUCUGAGAGGAUGAUCAGCCACACUGGGACUGUGAAACGGCCCAGACUCCUACGGAGGCAGCAGUGGGGAAUAUUGCACAAGGGGCGCAAGCCUGAUGCAGCCAUGCCGCGUGUAUGAAGAAGGCCUUAGGGUUGUAAAGGACUUUCAGCGGGGAGGCGGGACCCGAAGAAGAAGCAACGGCUAACUCCGUGCCAGCAGCCGCGGUAAUAG